rnacentral:lncRNA from 10 species
GAUCCAGCCCUUUAUGUCAGAAUAAAACCAUGCCAGACCCUUCUAAACUGCCCUAAUGUUCCGGUGCUGGGUUUCAGCAUCCAAUCAUUCCAUGUGCUCAGGGCUGGGGUUUGGCUGGGCACGGACCUCCUCUGUCUGAUGAUUGUUUCUGGUGUGCUCUCAUUGGUUCCACUUUUCUGCCCCUGCCUGGCUGGUGGGGUCCCACGAGGCUGGGCAGCUGCACUCUCUCCCCCAAGCUGAGACUGGGCACCAAAGGAGGGUGGAGGGUCUCUGCAGGAGGCUACCUGUGCCUGCCAUGGCUCCGAGCAUCCUCACCCCCCCAUCCUGGAUGGUGGCAUCCAGGGCCCACUGCCCCCAGACCAGGCCUGCACUUCACCCCCACAUCCUGACACUCCAAGUCUUCAUGUGCUCCCGGCUCCCAGGCCUUGGCACAGCCUGUUCCCUGCACCUGGAAUGCCUUUCCCAGAUCUUCUCCAUCUGGAGAAUCCUGCUCAUCCCCCAGGCCCAAGGAUGGAGGGACGGGGGGAAUUAAUAUAUUUUAACCUGACUGUGCCAAGGACCGUGCUGGGAGGUGAGUGCCCUCCGUGAAUCCCAACACAGCCCUGCACCAAUCACACAGAGGGGGCUUCAUAAGCCCAUUUCACAGAUAGAGAAACUGAGGCUCUGAGGCAUUGAGUAAUUUGCCCAAAUUCAUCCCAUGGUCGGUGGCAGGGCUGGGAUAACUCCGACCAGUCAGCUGACCAGCUGGCCCACAGACCAGCCUUGUCUGUCCACUCCUGGCUCUGGGUGUUCUCUCAGCCCCUGAGAAGGGGCAUCAUCCCUUCCUUCAUGCCCGCCCAGGAUGCGGAGCCUCCUUCUUCCUCCUUUCAUCUAGUUCUUCCCAUCCUCCUCUGUCCCUCACUGGUCCCCUCUGGAGGGAGGUGCCCCUCCCUGGCCUCCAGGCUCCAGCCUGAGCAGUCUGCUCCAGCCUUGGUGAACAGAGGUGGCUGCAAUGGGCUGACGCAGCUGCUGUGUCCAUGGCCAGUGUCCAGGCUCUGCCCCGGAGAAGGACAGGCCCCUCCAGCCCAAGGAUAAGCUGGCUCCUGUGUUUGUCAGAAGAAACUUGGCUUCCUCAACAGUGUCAGGGGUCUGAGCUGUGGGUGAGGCUCCAAGUCUUCUCCAGAGAUGCCUUCAUUCUGAGAGUCUUGAGUCCGUGAGUCCACAAAUGAUUCUGUGAUUCUGGAAUUCUAAGAUUCUGUGAAAGGGAGCAGAUACUCAGAUUCUGUGAUUUAAAGCUUUUAUGAAAGUGUUUUGAAGCUCACGAAAGAAGCUCUGACUCCGAGAUCCCAUGUGUGACAGCUGCCAUGGAGGGGACUGCAAGAUCUGAAAAUCCUCCGCCCGAGUGUGGGAAGGAAGGUUCCAGGGCCCUCUCCUCCUGUUUCAGAAUCUGCAGGAGGACGUUGGGCCAAAGAUCUCUAAGCUCCUCUCAUCAUCAAAAUGCAGGGUCCUGGUCACUGACUCUAGAUUCCCCCCUCCCAGGGCUCACCCUAGUCUGCCCCUCCCAGCACCUUCACGUCUGAGUGGGUUAAAUGGGCCCUGAAUCCCCAGGUGACAAAUCCAUGAGCCCAGCUCUCAGCAGAUGCAUCCCAGCUGAACAAGCAGCUGCUGCUAGGGUUGCUGUUUUCCUGUCAUAUUAAUUAUGAGGAGUGAGACUGGUAGGCGGCCUUCGCUGAGAGGAGUUUUCUGGUGCAUCCUUGGGAUGAGCAGCUUGGGAACCAGGAGCCAGGAGCCCCCUGUUGUUUCGAGUCUGUUUAUUCUUCUGAUGGACUCGCCCUGCCCCGCUGUGGAGGUCUUCUCCCGUAUUUCCCCAUUUAAUUGGUUGUAUUCUCAGUGGUCUCUGAGCAACGGUUGUCCUGCCAGGGUCAGUUCGGGUUUCUCUGGAAAAUAAUGAUUCCCUGGCAGGGGAUAAACGGGAGAAUAGGCAAGGAGGGGCUGGAAUUCUGGAGGAAGCCAGAUCUGCACUGGGUCUUCCAGGACAUCCCAGGGUGGCCCCCUCUCCUCUCACCCCAACUUUAGCAGCUCCCGAGCAGGAAGGUUGGAGUCCCAGGGUCACCUGCUGAAGAAAGGAAACCAGAGCCCAGAACCCAGUAGACUUGGUGGGGAAGAGACAAGCCACUCCCAUCUUCGCUCCUCAGGGGCCUCUCCUGAGACAGCCCCCGAGCUGGCCUGGCCUGGGCCCCUGUGAGCUGGUGGGGAGGCUCUGACUGUCACCCCAGGAAAGGUGGGACAGAGGCUUCCACAGGCUGUGCAGACCCAGGCUCAAGGCUCAGAUAGUUCCAGACUUUCCAGGCUGAGGCUCAGGGACCCAGAAGGGCUGUGCGCUGGUGACCAGGACCCAAGAACCACUGCUCCCACCCUCUGCCUGUUUAAUGACAGUCUCUACUCCCACCCUCCAAUUGACUGGGCUCCUUGACAACAGGGACCUUGUCUUCCUUGUUCAGUG